rnacentral:tRNA from 2 species
UGCCGGCGUGGCGGAACAGGCAGACGCACAGGACUUAAAAUCCUGCGGGACUUACCUCCCGUACCGGUUCGAUUCCGGUCGCCGGCAU